AGAAUUUGGAGGUGUGGGUCUCGUUGUCUGAUGUGUUUCGGCACUGACUGGCUUUGGGGCUUGCAUUCUUCUUUGUGAACUGUUUUUUGGGUUUCUGUGGGUACUUUUUGUAUUUUUUUUUAUAAAGUUUCAUUUAUGA
rnacentral:misc_RNA from 1 species